AGUGAACGCUGGCGGUAGGCCUAACACAUGCAAGUCGAACGGCAGCACAGUAAGAGCUUGCUCUUACGGGUGGCGAGUGGCGGACGGGUGAGGAAUACAUCGGAAUCUACUUUUUCGUGGGGGAUAACGUAGGGAAACUUACGCUAAUACCGCAUACGACCUACGGGUGAAAGCAGGGGAUCUUCGGACCUUGCGCGAUUGAAUGAGCCGAUGUCGGAUUAGCUAGUUGGCGGGGUAAAGGCCCACCAAGGCGACGAUCCGUAGCUGGUCUGAGAGGAUGAUCAGCCACACUGGAACUGGGACACGGUCCAGACUCCUACGGGAGGCAGCAGUGGGGAAUAUUGGACAAUGGGCGCAAGCCUGAUCCAGCCAUACCGCGUGGGUGAAGAAGGCCUUCGGGUUGUAAAGCCCUUUUGUUGGGAAAGAAAAGCAGCAGGUUAAUACCCCGCUGUUCUGACGGUACCCAAAGAAUAAGCGCCGGCUAACUUCGUG
rnacentral:rRNA from 1 species